GCACAGGAAGCGUGUUCAUCUUUCCUCAUGGGACCUAUAGGAAGAGGAAGUCGUUCCAUCCAUUGAAAAGGAAACAGCAAAGGAGGUCACCACCAUCAUCUUUUGUGAACUUUUUUCCUCAAAAUGUGGCUCAGCAAGUCUCAGCUAGUGCUGGGACUCAGGUGGAGAGGCUUGCUUAGCGCUGCUUUUUGAGAGGCCCUGAUGUCAGA